GACGAACGCUGGCGGCGUGCUUAACACAUGCAAGUCGAACGGUGAAGCUCCAGCUUGCUGGAGUGGAUCAGUGGCGAACGGGUGAGUAAACGUGAGCAACCUGCCCCUGACUCUGGAAUAAGCGCUGGAAACGGCGUCUAAUACUGGAUACGAGAAGGGUCCGCAUGGGCACUUUCUGGAAAGUUUUUCGGUUGGGGAUGGGCUCGCGGCCUAUCAGCUUGUUGGUGAGGUAAUGGCUCACCAAGGCGACGACGGGUAGCCGGCCUGAGAGGGCGACCGGCCACACUGGGACUGAGACACGGCCCAGACUCCUACGGGAGGCAGCAGUGGGGAAUAUUGCACAAUGGGCGAAAGCCUGAUGCAGCGACGCCGCGUGAGGGAUGACGGCCUUCGGGUUGUAAACCUCUUUCAGCAGGGAAGAAGCGAAAGUGACGGUACCUGCAGAAGAAGCACCGGCUAACUACGUG
rnacentral:rRNA from 1 species